rnacentral:rRNA from 1 species
UACGUAGGGCGCAAGCGUUGUCCGGAAUUAUUGGGCGUAAAGAGCUCGUAGGCGGCUUGUCACGUCGGGUGUGAAAGCCCGGGGCUUAACCCCGGGUCUGCAUUCGAUACGGGCUAGCUAGAGUGUGGUAGGGGGGAUCGGAAUUCCUGGUGUAGCGGUGAAAUGCGCAGAUAUCAGGAGGAACACCGGUGGCGAAGGCGGGUCUCUGGGCAACUCCUGACGCUGAGGCGCGAAAGCGUGGGGAGCAAACGGG